AACGCCUGCUGAUUCUUACUCUGUCUCUGAGGCUCCAAAUGUGUGGUAAAAACACACGGUGAGUGCAGCUGUCUAAAGCUAAACCCGAAUGGGCUUAAGAUAAAUUAUAUGCACGAAUCCUUUGAUUUCGAGUUUUCUCUUGAGAGGCAUCACUAAUAUUGAAGGACUGAUGCUUUCAUUGUUUUCUGAUGAAUAUAUUUAGUCAUAGAACUAUCUAAAAAGCAUAUGAUUUCAAAAAUAGGUGCAAAUGAUUUAUCUAUAAGAUUAGUAAAUCAUAUAUGGAUAUGAACUUUAAAGGCAUAUAUAGGUUUGGAGAAAAGAUUUUUCUCAGUAAUUUCAAUACAAAGCCCCUAUGACUAAGUUUUGAAAACUCAUGAAAACUCAGAAUAAGACACAGGAUCGACUGGACUCCAGGAGUGACAGCAAUAGAAUCUAUAGACCUAGCAGAUGCCUUCAUACAGCCGCAGAGGAAACCACUGCUAUAAUUCACUGGGCCCCUUCAAGUAGAAUCUGUGUAUACCUUAAGUUAUGGCAAGUUAUCAUAAUAUGUCUCGGAGGCCCAUGAAAGGAAAGGUCUCUGGUGAAACUAAGUUAGAGAAUACAUUUGCAAAAUUUCAUUCGUCAUCCCUUUUCUUAGUCUACUUGAGAAUUUUCCAGAGUAAAAUUUUGUGUACAACGUUACAUUUUUAAAACACAUUUUUUUUUUAUGAGUAACACUCUGAAUAAAAAGCACCGACAUAUCACUGUUUGUUAUGUGACAGGGUAGAUGGACUUCGUUAGAGUCUGGUCUGUAAUUACAUUUCAUUCAGGGAGGGUGCAGCUCCCAUCCUCCACAUCCGCCAGGUUAGAGGGACUUGGUUAAUAUCAGGUAAUGCCUGAAUCAAAACCACCAUUCGACAGUUGUGAUCUCAGGCUCAUCCAUGCUGGACACUGAGAUUGGUUUCCCGGACAAGGAAGGUCCCACAAAAGAAAUGAUUAAAAACAACGAGAGGAUGAUUACUCCUUUGUGAUUCUUGCCUGAGAGGCUGAAAUCUGAGCAGACUCCAUCUCAGUUUCCCUAAUGAAUUCCUCUGCUGCUGUCAUGCGGUUAAUUCUCCACAUUUCCUACUACCCUGAUUAUUAAAAAAAGGAAAAGAAGCCGGCCAAUAUAAACAUCAAAGGGCACUCCUACUUAUGUAGCCUUCAGAUAUUCUCCAGAGAUGGAUUGUGGGAACAAAAGAUUUGGGGCUUUGUGGGGAGAAUGUUUUCCUCUGGAGACAAUGGGCCAAGCCUACCAGACAAUGCAACUCUGCAUUUGGUGCUAUACAGUUAGGCAGCAAGGGUUUGCCCAGAGAGGCCAGAGAUGCUCCCUGGCUUAAGCAAGACCCAUCGCAGCUUUUAUUAAGUGGCAAUGUGGAGGAUGGGAGCGGCACCUUCCCCAAACAGAGUCUAGUGGCAGACAUCCUCCACAAGGCCUCGGACCAAAGAAGAAAGAGGGAUGGGUUGGAGGAGGGAAGCCAUUUGAGACACUUAAAACCAGCAGAGCUUUUCAUUUCCUGAACCUAAAGCAAAUAGCUGUUUGUGGUAUUCACUGGAGUGUGAGGGUGUGCCUUUUCCUUCUUCUUUUCUGCCAAGCUUAUAGACCCCACAGAAAAUUGACUAUAAGAUUGCUCUGAAGUUAAUAAGAUGAGACCCAAUGAGAAUAAAUGGAAAUGCCUAUGUUUGGGAUGGAAGAAUGAACAGGCUGAACAAGAGUUCAUGUGAAACGAUCUAGGGGUUAUACUUGAUUGCAAACAUUAUAUAUGCCAAUACUGUCACUUGGCUGCUGAAAGCCCCACUGCAAUUUAAGGCCAGAUUAGCAAAAGUAUAGUGUUCAGAGUAAGGAAAAUAUACAGCCUCUCUGUCUGACAUAGUUAGAGUCCUGCCUUCAUUCUGGGUGCCAAAUUUUAGAGCACACACAGAAAAACUGGAGCGUGUCAAAAGGGUUACAGGAAGAGAAAUGGAGUGGGAAACCAUGCCAUAUGAAAAACAAAAUCAGAAUCUAGGAUUCUUUAACUAGGAAGAAAAAACUUGUGGACACUUUAGCUAUUUAUAAAUAAGGAUGGGUUAUUCUGGGGAGGAAAGACAACCUCAUCUCCAUAAGCUUUACAUAAGAACAUUUUCCCUAAUAAGUAAAAUUGUCCCCAAAUGGAAUAGUCUAAUGAACACAGCUCUGAUGUUACAGCUGAAUACUCCAGCAGUAAAUAGAAGUUGGUUUCUUUUCUCUUUCUUUCUUUCUUUCUUUCUUUCUUUCUUUCUUUCUUUCUUUCUUUCUUCACCACCUCUCCCUCCUUCUCCUUCCCCCUCUUUUUCAUCCUUCCUUCCUUCCUUCCUUCCUUUCUUUUCCCCAUUUUAUUUAAAAUGUAAUUUUUUUCUAAUAAACUAUAUCCUGUCUAUGGUUUCCCUUCCUUCUAGCUCUUGCAGUUCCUCCCCACUUCCUCAUCCUUCUGGAUCCACCUUCUUUCUGUCUCUUAUUAGAAAACAAACAGGCUUCUAAGAGAUAAUAAGCUAAAGUGAACUAAACUAAACUAAGAUAAAACAAAACUAACACACUGGAAUUGGAUAAAACAAAUAGAAGGAAAAGAGCCCAAGAGAAGGCACAGGAAACAGAGACUAACUUUUUCACAUACCCAAGAAAACCAUGAAAAACACUCAACUGGAAUAUACACAAAAUGGACCUGGUACAGGCCUGUAAAGGGUCUGUACAUACUGCCUCAGUCUCUGUGAGAACAUGUGUGCUUUGAUCAGGUUGAUUUUGGGGGCCUUCUUUUCUUGCUGUCAUCUAUACCCUGGUUUGUAUACUCAUUCUGUUUCUUCCUCCUUAGGGUUAUCUGAGUCCUGAGAGGAGGGAUUUGAUGGAGACAGACCUUAAGGGCUGAAUGUUCCAAGGCCUCUCAUUCUGUAUAAGCCAGAAGCUGGAAACAACCUAAAUGUCCCUUAACAGAAGCAUAGUUAAAGAGAAUGUGGUGGCAUUUACACAACGGAACAUUACUCAGAUAUCUGUGUUCAGACACAUCACAUCAAGACAUCUUUGUUUCCCUCAAACUUGCAUUCGUGCAGAAGCCACAGAUAUUCAACAAAACUAAAAGAAGGCAUACAGAGAAACAAAACACAGGCCUGUAAUAACAGCUACUCAGAGAACCACGCUCAAGGUCUGCUGGGACUACAAAUGUGGCUGCAGAGGUCACUUUUUAAAGUGGAAGAGUCACAAGAUGAGAGGUGCGCUCUGACAAUUCCUGCCUAAAGAUGAGUCUCCCAUCAACCAUGACUGUUUGAUUCAGCUUCAUCUAAGCAAGAAAUAACUGUCUAUAUGUACUAAGCCACUGAGACUUAGCGGUACCCCUCCAGCUCCUCUUGCCCUCAAAUGAAAGCAUCUAUAGACAUGGAAAAUUGUCGUUGGAUGAUUUCCUAUAAACCCCUUUCUAGUAUUUCAGCUGCUCUCCCCUUACAGCUGAAGGACACUGGAUCGAGAUCACCACUGCACACAGGCACAAUUGAAGCCACAGGCUUAAGAUUUCACUGUUGAAGGGGCAGGCUGAGAAGGAACAACUCCGGCUUUAACACCACGAGUAUCUCCGAUUACCAAAUGUGGGCUGAAAGAAUACAAAGCGCUGGGAGAGACAGAAAGGUCCUCGGUAUUCUUCAAAGCCUCCCUGUGGGGUUCUGAGUUCUUCUUUGCUUCCAAAACAGAGAGUCCGGGAAGCCUGCACACCUGGAGUGCAUUAGUGGGCCUUGGACUCAAGGUGAAACCGGGUACGCUUCACCUCGAUGGUUCCCACAAUCCACUCUCAUAAAAAGCUCACAGUAAUUUCUCAGCUUAGGAACGUGGUAUGCUAUUCAUAGAGUGUUGAAUCCAGGGAUUACCUCCUGAAAUCCUGGAUAAAUCCCACUGUUCGUCUGAAUAAACACACUUUCAUGUUGAUUA